CUCACAGGCAACCAAUCCGGAUGCUGCGGUAGAGACCGUCAGCGACAGUUUCCGGCAGACCCUCAGGAUCGAGGGUGACUUGUUGUUUCUCCAAUUUGAUGGGUCAGUGCACUGCGUCGGAGAAUUUGACUGCACCUCGGCAUGCUUCCAAUGAAGGGCAAAAGUGAGGACUGCAGAUGCUGGAAACCAGAGUUUAGAUCAGAGUGGUGCUAGAAAAGAACAGCAGAUAUCCUCUAGGAGAAACUUCUGCUCAUUCACUACUGGACGACAUUCAAGAAGUGUAACAUAUCAAAAAUAGCAGAGGAGAUUGGAUAUAGAAUAAAAAUAGAGAGAUGCUAUGCUGCCAAAGCCCCAGUUUAUUCAGCCUCCUCCCUCU